GGGAUGAACGCCUGCCCCUCCCACAUGCUGAAAGGUGGCAGCUGGUGCUUCCAAACCGUGGGGGAACCUCACUUCUGCUGGGGGUUUUCUCUGAAUAAAAGCAGUUUUAAGCAUGAAUCCAUCAGGCUCAAAGCAAGAACUGGAUCUGUUUGCACAUCCCUGCAUUGUGUUCUGAAUUCAAGCACACCUAUGUGAAAGCUGUAGUCUCACCCAGUCAUAGCAGUGGUGUUUUGGAUUGGUUGGGUUUGUAAUGGGUCGGGGAGCAACCUUGGCAGCACAUUCCCACUGGAGGAAAGCAAUCAUAUGGCUAAAUGCAGGAUGGCUGAUGGGAGUGAAGAUGAGUGAAAUGGAAAUUCCCGGAGCUGCAGAGAAAACAGAACUCAAACAUGUGGAAUAGCACGGCUCUGUCUUGCAAUCAGCACUGAAAUCGUGGGCCUUGUGUGAAAUACUACGUGUAAAGCUCAAGUGUGUUAGAAAAUAAAGUGCUCAUAUUUAGCAGCAGGGAAAAGUUACUGGUAUUUUGAUGUGAAGAAAAAAAGCCAAUUGAAGAUAAUAGGAUAACAAUAACUGAAGGUAUACAGGCUAAGCGUGAAGGAGAGCAAGCAAACACACUGAUUGAUCAGGGCACAGUAACCUAGUGUCAUUUCAGCUGGGUCAUGAGGUAGAGCACACUCAGCAUGUCCAUAUUCCAGGCAGAGGUAGAAGGUCAGGCUGCACCUUGCAGGGCAAUUUUCACAGCCACACCAGACAGGGAGGUGGAGGUGGGUACUGGCUGGGAUACCCUCUGGCUGGAAGGUGGGAUGGAGAGCUGGGAGAGGAUACCUGAUGGUGCCCAGCCCAGCCUGUCAAAGACCUUCGCUCUGAAGGAAGCAAUUAAUAACUUUUUUCAGAGUAGCACACCAGGCCAAAUAGAGAUGAAAAAAAAAACCAAACCAACAAAAACCCGAAACAAACUCCCACCGUGAGAGCUUUUGUCGGGGGGUCUAUCAGGAAAACCUCCGUCCCUUGUGGGCUCUUUAGAAAGGAAGCGGGGAGAUUUGCAGUGAAGACCCUUUGGCAGUAUCCAGCCAGGGUAAAUAUAAAACUGCUAAAACUCUGAUUAGUUGUUUGGGUCAAAAAGAUCAUUCUCUUCCUACAUGUCUUCCCAUCCUGUGCAGCACUGCUGUGGAAAGACCUUAUCCUAAAUACUCCAUUCUGAUAUAGCAGCAGAUGAAAAAGAAAAAACUACACUUUAUUAAAAAAAGAAGUCCUUUCAAUGAGUGACAGAUUAAUGUAGUGACACAUUAAUAUAAAUUUUAAAACCUGAACAUUAUUCACUAAGGGGAAAAGGCUCCUAAAUAUACAUGCAAAACAAAAAUGGCAGAGCAAAACCUCUGACAAUGCUUUGCACAGAAUCAUUUACUAGGUCUCUGUAAGUGAUCAUUAACAUGAAACUUGCAUUUAAUCUAGUAGCCAACCAUUCCCUUUUAUCUUCUGGCUCUGUGUGUUUGUGGAAGACAGUGGUCCCUCAGGCUGAUUUUUUCUCACUGGAGUGAAUGUACAGGUGACAUAGGUCAGAGAAGGGAAUUUAAAUAGCCCUUUUUCAAGCUCAUCUCUCUGAUUCUUGCUUAGUCCAAAUAAGGAAAACUAUCACCUCUGCUUUAGAGCUGAGAAAAUUCUUUCCAAACCAAAUAAACCCUCAGCUGUCCUGUCAGCAGUAUAGCCUUUUGGGUCAAAGCACAGGGGAGCAGUGUGUGAGCUGGAGUGGGGUCAGGGGUGCACAGAAAUAUUACCUUCAUUUCACUGUAUUGACAUGCUCUUUCUGGGAUGCUGGCAACAGCAUGUGGGCUGGCUACAGCAAUUAUUUACUUGAGCUGCUAUUGCCAAAGCACCCAAGCAAGGGAUUUCUAAACUAGCCCCAAGUAUCUGCCACACAGUGAUGUGUGGCCGUCACUGACAUGGUUGCACUAUGAACUCAGCUCAGUAUCCUGGAUUUCUGAUGAAAACUGGCAUCUAAAGCCAUCUCCUUGACCUGCUUCUAGGAGUACCUAGCUCAGGAAGGUUUGUAAACGUGAAAUUGCCUCCCCUUUUACAAGAAUGUGGCUCACUGCUUCUCUAGGCCAUGUUGACACCUCUUGACAAAUGUGGCUUGAUGGCACAAGUAUAAUAUUUACUUUGUAGGUGUACAAAACUCGGAGUGUUUUUUUUCCAUGUGUAUCCCUUUGUGAUGCAUGCCCAGC